UUUAUUCAGUUCCAGACGUUUCUAUCUCUUCAAUAACCCAAAAAAAAACGGCAAUGAAAAAGAAUUCUAGGGUUUCCGACGAAUCAACAGCCGAAUAGGAACAACAUCAAGAAGACGCCAAGAUGGACGAUGAUGAGGGUUCUUGCUCGUAGACGAGCCUUUACGAAGUACGGGAAUACGGGAUUGUUCUGUAAUUUUACCAUUUUCGGUAUAUUAGGGUUUUGAUAUUCCAUGUAUGAUGUCGGAUUGUCUGAUUGAUUGAGAAGUGGAAGGCAAACCUGGAUUAGAAACCCUAAUUUUAUAAUUGAUUUCAGAGAAUUGAUUUUUGAAUGGCUUUCGCAGUUAAUGCUUGUAUUUAUAGUUACUCCUUUUCCCUAAAAAAAUUCUGCUCAGGUAAUCUCAACUCUUUGAUUAACUUACAAUUAUUACUAAGUUAAAUUAUUGCAAUCAUCGUGCAAUGAUUAAUUAGAAUAUGCUUCUUAUAGUUUUGUUGGCUCACAACAUUAUGGCCUGAGCUUGAUAAUAAUAAAACUUGAGAAACGAGAAGCCUUUCUGCAAGUGCGUGUUUUUGAGAGAUUUCUGUAUGAUGAUCUACAGAGAUGGAAGGUGUUGAAAGCCAAUUCUAAGUUUAAUCCCUGACCAGUUUUGCAAAAUACUAUUAGAAUGGAUGGUUUUUCUAUGAAUUAGAUGUUCGACUUUGCUAAACCCUUUCGUAGUUGAGAACUGAUAUCUGAUCAUAGCCUCAACUUUCUCGGUAGGUUAAUUUAUUAUGAUAAUUGCAUUAACUUACAAAAAUCUUACAAGAUAGCAUUUGUUGUGCUACAGAUAGUUCAGCGAAUAUAUUCAAAGAAGAUGGGCUGGCAGGUACUGGUUGCCAAUUUUUAACCAUAUCCCUGAACUGGUUCUUGGUGUUGAAAGCACUGCAUCUCAACAGGAAAUUAGAAACGCGUACCACAAGUUGGCAAUGCGACUCCAUCCUGAUAAGAACUCCGGUGAUAAGGAAGCGAAUGAGAAAUUCCAACAGCUGCAGAAGGUGAUGAGGAAAAAAAGAGCCCUUUAUGAUCAGACCAGAGUUGUCGAUGAUGGAUGAUCUUACCGGUGAUCUAGCUCAGAAAGUGCAGAACUUGUUCAGAGCCAUGUAGAAAGAGGUAAGCUUUAUUAACAUUGCAUCACAAGUAGCUGAGAUUGGUGGUGCACUUCCAGGUCACAGUGGCUGAUAUUGAAAAGUUUGAAGCAAACUACGGGGGAUCUGAUACUGAGAAAAACGAUUUGAUUAACCUCUACAAGAAGUACAAGGGUCGUAUAGGAAGGAGUUUAAAUCCUACGAGAAAUGGGCUAACGUAACUGGUAUCUGAAAUUAAACCACCUACGAGCCCUUUGAAGCGAAGAAAGAAGUAAUUUCGUUUGCCAUUACAUUGAAUGUAGAUUGUUUUUAUGAGCUACUGAGAUCUUCAAACUUCAAAGCCUGGCCAAUAUGAUUCAAAGAAGGCAAAUUCUGAUCUAUCUCAGCAACUGAAGGACCAAAUCCUGUUUUGGUGGAGAAGUAUGGGGGGGGGCAAAGUACUUUAGAACCAACGGAGGAAGAGUUUGAAGAUGCCCGGAAAAGGUCAGUCGUCAGUGAGCAAAGUGUCGUCAAAUGGCAAGUUUGAACCCAAAACAAAGUUUAAGGUUUUGUAAAACAGAUGGUAUUGAAUUAGUGUUUUUUUGUCGCCAAAACAGGACUAGGACUAUUCUGUGCAGUUAGCAUUCAGAUUUGAAAUCUGUUGCAAAAUCCGAAACUAAUUUUAGUCUAAGAUAAUUAACAAAAUACAACAUUACAGUAAUGCAAAACACUAGCUAGAUCAUUCCUAUUGAAGUGAUGAUUCAACAAAAAGACAUUCUUGACAAAGUAUUUGUAGUAAGUUUGAUAAUAUUCUUAGCAAAGAAUGAAGCAGGCCACAAGCUAAUAA